rnacentral:tRNA from 2 species
GGGUCUGUAGCUCAGUAGGAUUUAGAGCGUAGGUUUCCGAAGCCUAAGGUCAUAGGUUCAAAUCCUAUCAGACUCA